rnacentral:lncRNA from 1 species
GUUUGGAUCUCAGCCUUGGGUGUCUGAUAGGAGUGAUCUUUGCUGGGGAUGUGGAUUGGGCUUUGGCACCUGGUACAAAAAAAUGAAUCAAUCACUACUCCUGCCUUCCCAUGUCUUUCUAGAACAAAGUAAAGUGAAUUUGCUUCUUACCAACUACAGUUCUCUCAAAAGCCUGCUACGCGGUGAUGUUUUGGAGCAGGGGGACCCAGUAGAGGUCUGCCCUGCUGGCAGAGCAUAUAUGAACCCCCAACUGUAUGCAUUUGUUAUGGCAGAGGAAGAUGUUGAUUUAUGGCACCUCUCAAGAAUUUUUAACUAAGAAGUACUUGUCAGUCAUCAUAAAACAAGCAACCAACCAAAGCAGAAGAGAUCCUGUAAUGUAAUCUGCAAGAUCUGUUGUUACAGACCUGUAAUCUGUUCUUCUUAUGAGCAUCUCUGACACGUGAAGGAUUCAGCAUUAGUGGAUGAGAGGAAAUGAAGGUGGCUUUCUGCAGAGCAAUGUUAACUCUAGACCAAAGCACGUUCUCAUGCUUGCUGUGUGACACUCUUCUGCUUCUCAACACCAUAGCAUGGGUGACUCUGGGGCUGCCUCAAACCAGAGGUGUAAAAAUCCUUAAAAUGCAUCAUAUCAAAGGAUUUAAGGCUUCCCCAAGAUUUAUGCACUUCUAGGAGAUGAGACAAAACCAAAAAUUUUGAGAAUUUAUGCUUUGGACGUGGAAACACCAGAGUUUUUUUUCUAUCCUUAUAUUUCUAUGUAUUCUCUACACUGCAAUAAACUCAGAUGAAGAAGUAUCA